GGGCCCGCACAAGCGGUGGAGUAUGUGGUUUAAUUCGAUGCAACGCGAAGAACCUUACCAGGGUUUGACAUCCUGCGAAUCUCUUGGAAACGAGAGAGUGCCUUCGGGAACGCAGUGACAGGUGGUGCAUGGCUGUCGUCAGCUCGUGUCGUGAGAUGUUGGGUUAAGUCCCGCAACGAGCGCAACCCACGUCUUUAGUUGCCAGCAUUAGUUGGGCACUCUAGAGAGACUGCCGGUGAUAAACCGGAGAAGGUGUGGAUGACGUCAAGUCAUUAUGCCCUUACAUCCUGGGCUACACACGUACUACAAUGCUACGGACAAAGGGCUGCAAGUUCGCGAGGACAAGCAAAUCCCAUAAACGUGGCUC
rnacentral:rRNA from 1 species